AUGGAAACCCGAACGGAUCACCAACAACCAUCCGGCGAUCCUUCGCCGGGGCAACCUCGCUGGGUGUUGCUCGAGCGCCGGGGCAACAUCCGCGAUGAUGCCGACGACAUGCUCUGCGAGGAUCCCGACGCCAUAGCAACACCGAGCGAGGAUCUCGACGCCGAGACCGUGGCGGAAGCUCAGGCCUCCGGAGGGCGUCUUGUCCGCGUCUCCUUCCGCUUCGCGGCGCCACCGGCAGUGUCACGCCUUCGCGUCGACAGCCCCGGCCUGCCGGAGGGCACCUGGAUCCACGCGCAGAUCAUCGCGGCCCACGGGGACUCGGUCCUUAUGGAGAUCAAGACCAGCAGACGCAGACGUGGCUUGUCGUGGAGUAUUGACGAACGCGACUCGUCGGAUUACUUCGUCUAUAAUGCCGGCGACGCCGCCGCCGACCCACUCCGCCCUCCGUCGCUGUCGCUGCUACCCCCUUGGCGCGUGGGGGCACCCGGGCGGAAGCGAUGUAUGCCUGCCGAAUCCACUGCCCUCCUGCGCCGCGGCGACGAGGACCUGCUUGUGGCGCAGCUGACUCUCUGGGGUACAGAAGGAGAGGCGCCGCUCGAGGCCGAGCUCUGCCUGCUCAGAUCCGGUCGGUGGGACUGUGAGCUCAAGCGUCUUCCGAUCCUCCACGGCGACGGCAAGCGGGAGGAGGUGUCCUUAUGGUCGACCGACGCGGUCAUCCCCGUCGGCGACCGGUUCUUGUGCUGGGUGGACUACUACCGCGGCGUCAUCUUCUCGGACGCGUGGGAGGAGACGCCCCAGCUGCGAUACGUGUCUCUCCCCGUGGAGCCCCAGCUGGAACUGGAACUCUGGUCGCAAGACAGCGGCGGCUCGAGCAACCGCCGCGUGUGCACAACGGACGGCGGGGGAGCGGUGAGCUUCGUGCAGGUCCUUCCCCGCUGCUGCUGCGGCUGCCCGGGAGACGCCUUCUGCUCGCGCUCCCGCUACGCCUUCAACAUAACCACGUGGACGCUGAGGAUGGACGACAUGACCACGUGGGACAUGGUCGGUGUGGUAGACUCCGACGAGCUCUGGUCGCUCCCCGGCUACGGCGGCGUCGUCCCGCGCAUCAGGCCGCAGUACCUCAUCGUCAGCCUGGACGACCCCGAUGUCCUCUGUUUCAUGGUAAAGAAGCGACCAUACGAUAUGGAGGACGUUGACGGCGACCAUGCGGUACGGCUGAUCGAGGUGGACACCAAGCGCAUGGAGCCGUCCUCCGGCGAAGCGCCAUGA
rnacentral:rRNA from 1 species